AGGAGGACCCCGUAAAUCUCCAUUAUUUAGACUGAUAGACAAGAACGGUUUGACUGAAAAAUAUCAGAAUUGAAAAUACUGUGGAAACAAAGACACCUACAUCUUGGAUGCCCUUGAGCAACUCAAGGUGCAGCAGUAAACUUAGGCCAUGGAGGACAACAACAGAGAUUCCAACACUCACAGCUAUCGUUAUUACUAUGACUCUGAUUAUGGAAAUGAAAUACUUACUUAUCCACACUCUGAGUAUUUUUGGGAAAUCAGACUGUCCAUCUUCUUCAUCGCUGCUCUGUGUGUGGGUGUUCCAUGUCUGAUUUGGGCUUUUUAUUUUGUGCAUCUUCAGAAAAGGACCAGAAGCCGGAUCUCAGCCUUCAUCAUCCUCCUCCUCCUCUGUGACCUGUUGCAACUGCUCCUGUAUAUAUAUAUAGUGUCAAAACUUCUUUCUUUCAGUUUUUUCCAUGGCGUUGAAAUUAUAAUGCUUGGAUAUUUUUGUCUGAAAGUCUGUGGCGUUCACCUGCAACAGUUGGUGGCUCUGGAGGGGGUUCUGACACUGAAAUAUCCAAUGAUCUCUGCUCAUAUUUUCUCAACCCCGUGUUACAUAAUAUUCUCCAUCAUUAUACUUGUUUUUCCUGUAAUGUGUGCAUUAUUGGUUUUCGGUUACCCUGGUAGUCAUGGUUUUUAUCUCGGUGUUGGCUCAAUUCUGGCACCUGUGUGUUUAUUGGUUGUCACAGGAAUAAUCACAUGCAAAGCCCCACCCACUCCAGCCAGAACACCUGACAGUGACAACAAACCAGGCGCAUCGUUGUUUCUUGUUACCAUGGUUACCUUAGUUGUGCUCUAUUUACCAUGUGUGUUACUUCACUGUGUGCAAAUCCUCUUCUUUCACGUGACAGACUCUUGGCUCGUGAUGUGUCACUGCUUGUUGAGUUUGACAGUGAUUUCAGAGCCUCUCCAGUGUGUGCUGGUCUGUAGAGAGAAUCUCAGGGCUCAGACUAAUCAAACACACAUAGAGCUCAAUACUGAACAGACAUCAGUCUGAACUGGAUAUUCAGAUGAGGCUUAUUUCAAUAACAAAAAUUGUUAAACUUUA